rnacentral:rRNA from 1 species
GACGAACGCUGGCGGCGCGCCUAACACAUGCAAGUCGAACGAGCGAGAGGGAGCUUGCUUUCUCGAGCGAGUGGCGAACGGGUGAGUAACGCGUGAGGAACCUGCCUCAAAGAGGGGGACAACAGUUGGAAACGACUGCUAAUACCGCAUAAGCCCACGGGUCGGCAUCGACCAGAGGGAAAAGGAGCAAUCCGCUUUGAGAUGGCCUCGCGUCCGAUUAGCUAGUUGGUGAGGUAACGGCCCACCAAGGCAACGAUCGGUAGCCGGACUGAGAGGUUGAACGGCCACAUUGGGACUGAGACACGGCCCAGACUCCUACGGGAGGCAGCAGUGGGGAAUAUUGCACAAUGGGGGAAACCCUGAUGCAGCGACGCCGCGUGGAGGAAGAAGGUCUUCGGAUUGUAAACUCCUGUUGUUGAGGAAGAUAAUGACGGUACUCAACAAGGAAGUGACGGCA